GAUGAACGCUGACAGAAUGCUUAACACAUCAGCAAUUGAUUGGUGGCGGACGGGUGAGUAACGCGUAAAGAACUUUCCUCACAGCUACGGACAACAUUUGGAAACGAAUGCUAAUACUUAAUACUGUGAGAGAGCUUUGCGUCCCAUUAGCUAGUUGGAGAGGUAACGGCCCACCAAGGCGAAGAUGGGUAGCCGGCCUGAAAGGGUGAUCGGCCACAAGGGAACUGGGACACGGCCCUUACUCCUACGGGAGGCCGCGGUAGGGAAUAUUGGAGAAUGGACCAAAGUCUAUUCCAACAAUUCUGGGUACAAGAUGGAGUUUUCGGAAUGUAAAGUGCUUACGGUUAGGAAACGGUACCAACAGAAAAAAUGACGGCUAAAUACGUGCCAGCCACCGCGGUAAUAC
rnacentral:rRNA from 1 species